AAUUCGGCUUAGAGUUGAUCAUGGCUCAGGAUGACGCUGGCGGCGUGCCUAAUACAUGCAAGUCGAACGAAACUUCUUUAUCACCGAGUGCUUGCACUCACCGAUAAAGAGUUGAGUGGCGAACGGGUGAGUAACACGUGGGCAACCUGCCCAAAAGAGGGGGAUAACACUUGGAAACAGGUGCUAAUACCGCAUAACCAUAGUUACCGCAUGGUAACUAUGUAAAAGGUGGCUAUGCUACCGCUUUUGGAUGGGCCCGCGGCGCAUUAGCUAGUUGGUGAGGUAAAGGCUUACCAAGGCAAUGAUGCGUAGCCGAACUGAGAGGUUGAUCGGCCACAUUGGGACUGAGACACGGCCCAAACUCCUACGGGAGGCAGCAGUAGGGAAUCUUCCACAAUGGGCGAAAGCCUGAUGGAGCAACGCCGCGUGGGUGAAGAAGGUCUUCGGAUCGUAAAACCCUGUUGUUAGAGAAGAAAGUGCGUGAGAGUAACUGUUCACGUUUCGACGGUAUCUAACCAGAAAGCCACGGCUAACUACGUGCCAGCAGCCGCGGUAAUACGUAGGUGGCAAGCGUUAUCCGGAUUUAUUGGGCGUAAAGGGAACGCAGGCGGUCUUUUAAGUCUGAUGUGAAAGCCUUCGGCUUAACCGGAGUAGUGCAUUGGAAACUGGGAGACUUGAGUGCAGAAGAGGAGAGUGGAACUCCAUGUGUAGCGGUGAAAUGCGUAGAUAU
rnacentral:rRNA from 1 species